CUUCACCGAGCCCAGCCACAGCGGGGUUUCCCGGUCCUGGCCGUAGGUGGCCAGCAGCGCCUGCGCCUC
rnacentral:antisense_RNA from 1 species